rnacentral:rRNA from 1 species
CCUACGGGAGGCAGCAGUGGGGAAUAUUGCACAAUGGGGGAAACCCUGAUGCAGCGACGCCGCGUGAGUGAAGAAGUAUUUCGGUAUGUAAAGCUCUAUCAGCAGGGAAGAAAAUGACGGUACCUGACUAAGAAGCCCCGGCUAACUACGUGCCAGCAGCCGCGGGAAUACGUCGGGGGCAAGCGUUAUCCGGAUUUACUGGGUGUAAAGGGAGCGUAGACGGUGAUGCAAGUCAGAAGUGAAAGCCCGGGGCUCAACUCCGGGACUGCUUUUGAAACUGUGUGACUGGAGUGCAGGAGAGGUAAGCGGAAUUCCUGGUGUAGCGGUGAAAUGCGUAGAUAUCAGGAGGAACACCAGUGGCGAAGGCGGCUUACUGGACUGUAACUGACGUUGAGGCUCGAAAGCGUGGGGAGCAAACAGGAUUAGAUACCCCUGUAGUC